rnacentral:rRNA from 1 species
CCUACGGGGGGCAGCAGUGGGGAAUAUUGGACAAUGGGGGCAACCCUGAUCCAGCCAUGCCGCGUGUGUGAAGAAGGCCCUCGGGUUGUAAAGCACUUUCAGUGAGGAAGAACGCCUGGUGGUUAAUACCCAUCAGGAAAGACAUCACUCACAGAAGAAGCACCGGCUAACUCCGUGCCAGCAGCCGCGGUAAUACGGAGGGUGCGAGCGUUAAUCGGAAUUACUGGGCGUAAAGCGCGCGUAGGUGGCUUGAUAAGCCGGUUGUGAAAGCCCCGGGCUCAACCUGGGAACGGCAUCCGGAACUGUCAAGCUAGAGUGCAGGAGAGGAAGGUAGAAUUCCCGGUGUAGCGGUGAAAUGCGUAGAGAGCGGGAGGAAUACCAGUGGCGAAGGCGGCCUUCUGGACUGACACUGACACUGAGGUGCGAAAGCGUGGGUAGCAAACAGGAUUAGAUACCCCAGUAGUC